CCUACGGGGUGCAGCAGUGAGGAAUAUUGGUCAAUGGGCGCUAGCCUGAACCAGCCAAGUAGCGUGAAGGAUGACUGCCCUAUGGGUUGUAAACUUCUUUUAUAUGGGAAUAAAGUGCAGUAUGUAUACUGCUUUGCAUGUACCUUAUGAAUAAGGAUCGGCUAACUCCGUGCCAGCAGCCGCGGUAAUACGGAGGAUCCGAGCGUUAUCCGGAUUUAUUGGGUUUAAAGGGAGCGUAGGCGGGUUGUUAAGUCAGUUGUGAAAGUUUGCGGCUCAACCGUAAAAUUGCAGUUGAUACUGGCAGCCUUGAGUACAGUAGAGGUAGGCGGAAUUCGUGGUGUAGCGGUGAAAUGCUUAGAUAUCACGAAGAACUCCGAUUGCGAAGGCAGCCUGCUGGACUGUAACUGACGCUGAUGCUCGAAAGUGUGGGUAUCAAACAGGAUUAGAUACCCUGGUAGUC
rnacentral:rRNA from 1 species